GACGUAGGGUGCGAGCGUUGUCCGGAAUUAUUGGGCGUAAAGGGCUCGUAGGCGGUUUGUCGCGUCGGGAGUGAAAACUCAGGGCUUAACCCUGAGCCUGCUUCCGAUACGGGCAGACUAGAGGUAUGCAGGGGAGAACGGAAUUCCUGGUGUAGCGGUGAAAUGCGCAGAUAUCAGGAGGAACACCGGUGGCGAAGGCGGUUCUCUGGGCAUUACCUGACGCUGAGGAGCGAAAGUGUGGGGAGCGAACAGG
rnacentral:rRNA from 1 species